AUGCCUAGCGUUUACCUAGUCUUCGAUGACUGGUCGCGAGGGCACAGCAUCCGCGAGGUAAUAAUCCCGUCUUCCGGCUCUGCCAUCUCAGCCCCGGCCGACGCGAAGCCCACGCCUCCGGUGUUCCUGCGCUUGGAGGCAAGGCAUGGGGCGCCGCAGCACUUCGUGUCAGCCUUCGGCACCAACAUCUUGGCCAUGCACAGCAGGUACUACGAGGGCAACUGUUCUAUGAUCGGGGGCUUCACCACCAUGGUCGACGUCCGCGAGCGGAGCCUCACCCUUUUCCCCGGGCAGUUUUAUCCGUGUCAUCCCAUUUAUUUCUCCGACGGCGACAAGCUGUUCUGCCUGAGCCUAGGCAGCUUCGAGAUGAUCGUCUGGGACCGGGACCCCCCGCUGGAUUCUUCUCACGGCGGGGAGAGCCCGUGGGAACAGCUCCCGGAACCGCCGUUCGGGCGUUAUGACGUCACCUCCUACGCCGUGCAGCCUCAGUCGUGGAUCUUCGUCGUCAGCACCAAGAUAGACGCCACUGAGGCCACCUUCGCCUUUGACAUGGUGGAACUUUCGUGGAAACGACUUGGCAGCUGGGCGCUGCCCUUCGAUGGCCGUGGUCACUUUGACCAGGACCUCAAUGCCUUUGUCGGACUCUCCAAAGAACCGGACACCCUCGGCCAACUGGGCCAGGACGCGGAGUAA
rnacentral:rRNA from 1 species